UUGAUCCCUGGCUCAGGACGAACGCUGGCGGCGUGCUUAACACAUGCAAGUCGAGCGGAAAGGCCACUUCGGUGGUACUCGAGCGGCGAACGGGUGAGUAACACGUGAGUAAUCUGCCCUGGACUUUGGGAUAGCCACCGGAAACGGUGAUUAAUACCGGAUAUGACCUGAUGCCGCAUGGUGUUGGGUGGAAAGUUUUUCGGUUCAGGAUGUGCUCGCGGCCUAUCAGCUUGAUGGUGGGGUAAUGGCCUACCAUGGCUUCGACGGGUAGCCGGCCUGAGAGGGUGACCGGCCACACUGGGACUGAGACACGGCCCAGACUCCUACGGGAGGCAGCAGUGGGGAAUAUUGGACAAUGGGCGGAAGCCUGAUCCAGCAACGCCGCGUGAGGGAUGACGGCCUUCGGGUUGUAAACCUCUUUCAGUACCGACGAAGCGAAAGUGACGGUAGGUACAGAAGAAGCACCGGCCAA
rnacentral:rRNA from 1 species